rnacentral:ncRNA from 1 species
UCGAUAGAGGCGCGGGAGCCCAUCAGUAACGCCGAACAGCCCCUCCAAGGGCGCGGACGCGGCGCGAAAGGGGGCCUCGCCGAAAUCCGGCCCGCUUGGAGGCGCGCCGGGUUGGGGAAUCGCGGAACACGCGGUUCACUGUCGCGAGCUUUGCUCGUGGAGCGCUAUCU